rnacentral:rRNA from 1 species
UGGGGAAUCUUCCGCAAUGGACGAAAGUCUGACGGAGCAACGCCGCGUGAGUGAUGAAGGCCUUCGGGUUGUAAAACUCUGUUGUCAGGGACGAAAGCACCGAUCUAUAAUACAUUUUGGUGUUGACGGUACCUGACGAGGAAGCCACGGCUAACUACGUGCCAGCAGCCGCGGUAAUACGUAGGUGGCGAGCGUUGUCCGGAAUUAUUGGGCGUAAAGGGAGCGCAGGCGGGAGAUCAAGUCUAUCUUAAAAGUGCGGGGCUCAACCCCGUGAGGGGAUGGAAACUGGUCUUCUUGAGUGCAGGAGAGGAAAGCGGAAUUCCUAGUGUAGCGGUGAAAUGCGUAGAUAUUAGGAGGAACACCAGUGGCGAAGGCGGCUUUCUGGACUGUAACUGACGCUGAGGCUCGAAAGCGUGGGGAGCGAACAGGAUUAGAUACCCUGGUAGU